rnacentral:rRNA from 1 species
GAUGAACGCUGGCGGCGUGCCUAAUACAUGCAAGUCGAGCGAACAGAUGAGGAGCUUGCUCCGCUGACGUUAGCGGCGGACGUGUGAGUAACACGUGGAUCACCUACCUAUAAGACUGGGAUAACUUCGGGAAACCGGAGCUAAUACCGGAUAAGAUAUUGAUGCGCAUGGUUCGAUAGUGAAAGACGGUUUUGCUGUCACGUAUAGAUGGAUCCGCGCCGCAUUAGCUAGUUGUUGAGGUAACGGCUUACCAAGGCAACGAUGCGUAGCCGAACUGAGAGGCUGAUAGGCCACACGGGAACUGGGACGCGGACAAGACUCCUAAGGGAGGCAGCAGUAGGCAACCUUACGCAGUGGGCGAAAGCUUGACGGAGCAACGCCGCGUGAGUGAUGACGGCCUUCGGAUCGUAAAAAUCUGUUAUUAGGGAAGAACAAAUGUGUCAGUAAAUAUGCACGUCUUGACGGUACCUAAUAAGAAAGCCACGGCUAACUACGUG